UGUAUUACGCCGGUCUGAACGGAAGUCAUUGAUGUUGAUUAUAUAUAGAGUUAAUAAUUCUUAAUACAA
rnacentral:tRNA from 1 species